UACGUAGGGUGCAAGCGUUAAUCGGAAUUACGUGGGCGUAAAGCGUGCGGCAGGCGGCUAUGCAAGACAGAUGUGAAAUCCCCGGCUCAAUCCUGGGAACUGCAUUUGUGACUGCAUAGCUAGAGUACGGUAGAGGGGAUGGAAUUCCGCGUGUAGCAGUGAAAUGCGUAGAUAUGCGGAGGAAGCACCUGAUGGCGAAGGCAAUCCCCUGGACCUGUGACUGACGCUCAUGCAC
rnacentral:rRNA from 1 species